GGCGCGUUCCAAAACGAGUCGCUCCCAUCCAACAGGGAGAAGCGAGCAUAUUGCAUGCAGGAGCGCUGCAUCGUAACCGAUUCCAAACCGAAAAGGGGAGAGAUCGCGUGUCAGGAUCUGUGGGCCGCGGCGCCGGUGACCCCGGUGAGCCGUGGCAUUCGGUGGGGGCCAUGCUGACUCAGGACCAAGAAUCGGGCCCCAGAAAUGGCCCCGAGAGGGUCUGCUCCAGGAGAUGAAAGCAGCCGAGGGAGAACAGGUGCUAAAGAGAAGCUUGAUGCGUUUGGCACCAAAUCAGAUGACUCUGGCAACCUCAAAAAAGGAAGACUGAGGUGAGGAAGAUGGUGUUCAGGAUAACGUGAUACCAGCUCCACGAAUCUUCAGAUGGGCACUUGACAUGAACAGUAAAGGUUCAGCUCUACGAGACGAACAGUGUAUCAUAUUCAUGUUUGUUCACUUGGGCAUCGUAAGGAAAGAAAACGAAAGAAAACUGUCACAGAAGGGUGAACUUCUGAAUAUUGCCGACAUAGUGAAGACUGCAGAAAUGGAGUGGUACUAGAUUUUAAGAGAGUUCAUAUUGAAUCAGAAACCCCCUACCUGUCAACAGCCUACCAUCCAUCGCACCUUGAUGUCGUCAUCUUCCUGGAUAGUUGGGAAAAGCCUCCAGCAGGAAGUAGCCCAGUUCGGGACUCAUGCUCGCUCACCCCUACAUGCACCCCCCUCACUUCUCCGUUAGGCAUUAAUAAAGCACUUCACUUUGCUGGCCAGUGCAGCCUGCCGCUUCCUUCGUGCCCAACUUGGCGUAGCAGAUGGUUCCUAAUAAAACUCUAAUGGCAUAAUAGCAUCUAACUCGUGCCCUAGAGAUGAGGGCAUUGUGAGGUAUAUGCAAGGACAUGCAGGCCCUGCAUUGUCGUGCUACGCAUAAAAGGCCAUUUUUAGGGAGAAAUUCGACAAAUAGAGAAAUAUUUAAAUUAGUCACUUUCCUAAAGUGAUGAUAUUCCAUUGAAAAGAAACACUAAAGUUAAGUUAAUUAUAAAUUCAUUUCUUUUUGAGUCACAGGCAUCUGUGAAACAAGCAUUUGUAUUCUUUUAAUCAUCCUGAUCAUAGACGCCCUAGUGAUCUGAGCAAAGCGUAGACUGCCACCUUUCAGGAAAACCCUGCAAUCCUGAGGGAUGGGCAUGAAACGCUUUAAAUUCACCGCGUCGUACAAUGAAUAUGACCCCACGUCAAAGCAUGAAGAUAUAAUAUAGCUUACGGAGCAAAGUGCUCCUUGCCUGCAUUUCCCACUCCGCAUGCGUAGGCCUGAGGUUCCCACUUGAUGAGAAACAUGGGGAUUUUUCAGCCAGGAGGUACCUGGAUAGUUAACAGUGACACAGCUUUAUAUAUUCACGUCACUUACAGGUUUAUCUGAUACUUGAUUGUGUAGAACGUAAAUAAUACAUUCUGAGCUUCUGAAAAAAUCAAACACAGUUAAUGUAUGAAGCAUGACAAUGGGUAGGUGUGCGCAGCUACACUGCAGAAUAUUGAAUUUUACUGUUGAAAAAGUAAGUAAUUUAUCGACGUGACAUGGGAAUGACGCUUAAUGAUCCGUACAUCUCUGCCCCCCCCCCCCACACACCACCACUGCCGAUGCCGAGUAACGUCUUGAAUGAUGUGGCUAUGUUAUCAUGUCACUAGAUAAUGGCCAAUGAGAAUGCUACUGAAGGGGACACUGAAGGUCAUCUGGGAUGCCAGUUCAGCAGACUGUAUUGUUUCACAAAGAACUUGCUGUCACCAUCCACUUGUUCCAGAACAGCCUGACCCAGGCGGAGUUCAGUGGAACAUCUGUUCUUCGCAAGCUCACAAUCGCAGUCACAAGAUGAAUCUUACAGACUGAAAAUCUGAAAAUAGAAGACAACAGCAAUCACGAGAAAAGAAUAAGGCUCCUGUUAAUCACUAGUGCUUUCUGUCCUGCUUAUGGACCCGGGUGCCACAUGUGUGCGCACGCGGAAAUGAGACGCUCAUGGUUGGUCAUGGAUGUCAGAAACGCGUCCAAGAACGUGCAGGUGCCACACUUGUGCAGUUCUGCAUGCAUCAUUGCCUUCGGAGCCACCAUGUAUUUUCUAUCACGUCAGACUUGCACUUUUGAAGGAGGCCCUACAAGGCUGCGCAUGAAAUCUAUAGGUUGUGACCCUGUUCACCCCCCUGGAGCUUGGAGGAACCCCCCCCCCCAGGAUGGGGCAAGACUAUCACCUGGCAGGUGUUGGAGGCCUGAAGAUCUCCAUUUCGUGUUUUGAUACACUUGAGAAGCAAUUCUCAACCAGUCCUGGUUGAGAAGCAAUCACCUCCAAGGAGCCUGUGAGGAUUCUGGUAAUGAUAUGAGUCCUGCUUGAGAAGCAAUCACCUCCAUGGAACCUGUGAGGAUUCUGGUAAUGAUAUGAGUCCUGCUUGAGAAGCAAUCACCUCCAUGGAGCCUGUGAGGAUUCUGGUAAUAAUAUGAGUCCUGGUUGAGAAGCAAUCACCUCCAAGGAGCCUGUGAGAAUUCUGGUAAUGAUAUGAAUCCUGGUACAGUGGGAUAGAUGAAAAAUGAGUCUCUACAGUAGGGCGGGUGCCAAACAAUACGCAGAAAGCACAUGACUAGGCAGCGUACUACCUGGGAGAAAUACGGAACGUUUAUGAUUGAAUGGGGAGGCUGGGGGGAGGGGAGAAAGGGAAGGAGAGGGAGAAGGAGAGAGAGAGGGAAUGAACUGAGACAGGACCGGAGCGAAGCAAAAAUCGAUGCUUUAUCAGUGUUUCCAUGCCUUAAAUCCCAUUUGGCAGAACAUCAAGAUAAUGGCGCCCCCUGCUUUCCAAUGCCGUCGUUAUUGAUCGGAUUAUUCAAUUAAUGAAUGUAUUUCUGGUUCCGUUCGCCGACAUAAUCCCGCACACUGUGAGCUUAUCAGCCUCGGAAGUGGCUGGUUUGUCAGGGAAACCAGCAGGAGAGUUAAUGAGUUUUCCCUGUGCUGCCACUGGGGUCACGCAUUGAGGCAGGAGGGCCAGUGCACUGGGGGAUCAUGGCAGGGGUCCUGCUGCACCAUAACCUGUCCCUACUUUACUCGCUGGGUAUCCGCACACCUUUGGAGUUCCCAUUAUAACUCCCUUUUCAUCCAAAGGUAGGCCUUAAUAAAAUGGAUGACUGUAGUCCGGGGGUUGGGUAGUGAAAUUACUGCUCCCAGCUAACACACCUACUUGGAUUAAUCGUUCCAAUUAACAGUUUACAAUCUGUUCUUUUUAGACUUAAUUACUUUAUUAUUAAUUGAGUGCAGGACACAGACUUUUAGGCUUAGGUUACAGGGUUACGGUGAUGGACUCAUAGCUUGAAUGUUGCCAUAGUACAGCUUCAAGAGGCUGAAUCUGAUAUACUUAGCUGAAUUAAUGCAUAACACUCGCACAGACAGUAUAGAACCACACACACACACACACACACUCACUGGCCCUGACAGCUUCACUGUGGAUUAGCUGAACUGACUUUUCCAUGUUGAGCAGGAGCCCAGCCCCACCCCUCCCACACCCCAAGUCUGCUGUGAGCCCACUUCUUCCUCGGAAGCCAUACUGGACCUCAAACAGACUCUAGCCCAGCUGUUUGAGACAAACUGCUACGACUGACAGGGCCUGGCCUAAUGACCAGCCGAU